rnacentral:lncRNA from 1 species
UAGAAUUCACUAGGAUCAUCGAGAAUAUGGCUCAAGUGUAGGUUUCAGUAAUGGUAGAAUAUUAAUUUGAGUAGCAAGUAAGGGAAUAAGGGACAUAUAAGCAAAAAUGAAAAUUAAAAAAGGACUAAGAUUGAAAACUCAAAAUCUGAGGGCUGCCUUCAUUUGGGCCUAUAAAAGGGCAUGCCCUUUACUUCAUUCACAAGUUUGGACCUCCAAAAAUUCCUCCUAAAUGCUCUCUUUAGUUUUCAAAUAUAAAUUUGAAAUUCCACAUUCAAAAAACCAAAAACAACAAAAAAAUCUUCAGAAAAAGCAAAAGACAUUGUUCCUUUGGAAACUUGAGGUUAAUUUUGAUUUUCUAAUAAUUAAUUUACAUCUUAUGGUUUGUCAUUUGAUAGCUGAAGUUUGAGAGAUCUCCUGCAUUUCAAGUUAAGUCAGUGUUGAAUGUGUUUGGGCCGUUCUGGAUGAUUUUGAGUUAAAAUUGAAUUGUUCAAAGCCUGUUCUGGUCUAUUACUGGUUUUUUCCCAUUGAAAUUAGCUAUUUGGUUAGAGUAUCAUUUUCUGGGUCAAAAACUCAGUUAACAGUCAUUGUUAAUUAUUGAAUACUGCCGUUGAGUACCUGUCUGCUGCUGCAUACCUUUCGUUCCUUUGUUCUAUUUCAAAUCCAGGUACACUGCUUGUAAAUCUCCAUGGUUGAGACUGAAAUCUGAAACGUUGCUCAUCUGUGUCUCCUAGCCCAAUCUCAU